rnacentral:rRNA from 1 species
AGGGUUUGAUUAUGGCUCAGGACGAACGCUGGCGGCGUGCUUAACACAUGCAAGUCGAACGAGAAUCUGUGGAAAGAGGAUUCGUCCAAUUGAAGCAGAGGACAGUGGCGGACGGGUGAGUAACGCGUGAGGAACCUGCCUUUCAGAGGGGGACAACAGUUGGAAACGACUGCUAAUACCGCAUGACACAUAGGUGUCGCAUGGCACUUAUGUCAAAGAUUUAUCGCUGAAAGAUGGCCUCGCGUCUGAUUAGCUAGUUGGUGAGGUAACGGCCCACCAAGGCGACGAUCAGUAGCCGGACUGAGAGGUUGAACGGCCACAUUGGGACUGAGAUACGGCCCAG